rnacentral:rRNA from 1 species
CCUACGGGCGGCAGCAGUGGGGAAUAUUGCACAAUGGGCGAAAGCCUGAUGCAGCAACGCCGCGUGAGCGAUGAAGGCCUUCGGGUCGUAAAGCUCUGUCCUCAAGGAAGAUAAUGAAGGUACUUGAGCAGGAAGCCCCGGCUAACUCGGUGCCAGCCGCCGCGGUAAUACGUGGGGGGCUAGCGUUAUCCGGAAUUACUGGGCGUAAAGGGGGAGUAGGUGGUUUCUUAAGUCAGAGGUGAAUGUCUACGGCUCAACCGUAGUAAGCCUUUGACACUGGGGAACUUGAGUGCAGGAGAGGAGAGUGGAAUUCCUGGGGUAGCGGUGAAAUGCGUAGAUAUUAGGAGGAACACCAGUGGCGAAGGCGGCUCUCUGGACAGUAACUGACGCUGAGGCACGAAAGCGUGGGGAGCAAACAGGAUUAGAUACCCCGGUAGUC